UCAGGACGAACGCUGGCGGCGUGCUUAACACACGCAAGUCGAACGAUGACGAUGGUGCUUGCACCGUCUGAUUAGUGGCGAACGGGUGAGUAACACGUGAGUAACCUGCCCUCCUCUUCGGGAUAACCGCCGGAAACGGUGGCUAAUACCGGAUAUGAAUGCCUGCCGCAUGGUGGGUGUUGGAAAGAUUUAUCGGUGGGGGAUGGACUCGCGGCCUAUCAGUUUGUUGGUGAGGUAAUGGCUCACCAAGGCGAUGACGGGUAGCCGGCCUGAGAGGGCGACCGGCCACACUGGGACUGAGACACGGCCCAGACUCCUACGGGAGGCAGCAGUGGGGAAUAUUGCACAAUGGGCGAAAGCCUGAUGCAGCGACGCCGCGUGGGGAUGACGGCCUUCGGGUUGUAAACCUCUUUCAGUAGGGAAGAAGCGAGAGUGACGGUACCUGCAGAAGAAGCGCCGGCUAACUACGUGCCAGCAGCAGC
rnacentral:rRNA from 1 species